AGCGACGAGUCUCUACUCCUAAUGGAGCAGCAGAUCGGUCUCCGUCGCCAACCAGACCUUCGCACGCCCGAUCCAGCCCUACGCCCCCUCCGCGGCCGAUCCAUCCCCGUGCCGCGGCCGAUCCAUGCCCUAUGCCGCCGCCGAUGCCUCCUCCUCCACCUCCAUUCCCAAGCGAGGGCACCCGCGGCCGCGGUCUUCUCCCCCAGCCACCAUGGCUGCAGAUCCACUCACGGCCGGUCGUCUAAGCUGCAAGCAUGGAUGGAUGGAUCCAGGAAGGUAUCCUUCCUCCCUGGGUGGAGCGAGCUGCACAUCCCAUUCGGCCCUCUGUAGCCGGCCAUCUCCGCCUCCUCCUCGCCGUCGCCGCCGCCGGGGAUCGCGUCUUCACCAAGCGCGAGCUCCGCCCCGUCCGACCGACCGCAAAGGGGUUGUCCAUUGUAAAUUUUCAAGGAGAUUCAAAUGUUCCUCUUCUGGAUGAUUGAAGGGAUACUUGAAGCUAGGGCAAUCCAAGUAAGAUAGCUUCAUCCUCAGGCAACAGGUUUAUGUUAUCUUAUCAUGGAGUCAUUUUUAAGUUUGUGCCCAACGCCUUCAUCCUUAGAAUGGCUGCCCAGAUGGCAAGCCACCGUACUCAGGCGACUGCCGCGCUAGCAGGGUGCUCCAACUUUUGAUGCUGGCGAAGCUUUUGGAAUGAUGGCUACAUAAUUUGUUAGUCUCCGUUGGAAGCUUAAUUAAACUGAGGUUCAGAUGUGUGGCAAAGGAUUUCAAUUUUCCUGUUUACACAAAGGAAACUUGAGGAAGGUUCAUAUUUCUCAUGCUCGGUGCUGUGCUCUCAAGGUUACAUAGACAAAAAUGCCUCCUAUUUACACAACGGCAACCCGACGAAGGAUGACGGGGCGGGUCGGGAGGCGGGGAAAGCCGUCCAUGGCAAUCCUGGUGGCGUUGCUAAUGGCGUCAGUGGCACUGCCGCUCCUCAUGGUGCCCGACAUGCUCUCUAUGCCAGGCUCCAACGGCGUGGAUCGCGGCGCCGCCUUGUCGCUCCCACGCCCGUGCUUCAGCAGAUCCGUGUUUGAGUCGUGCAUACCUUUAGCCGCCUCCCCUCCAAUGUCCACGACUCUGAUAUACCGUGUUUGUUAGUCUUGACUGGUGUUUGUUCUCCGUAUUGUUGUGCAGGAGGCUGGAGAACAGCAGGGAGAAAAGGGAGUCGUGGAUGGAGGUUCUGUACUUCUGUUGUAUCAACAUCUUCUCCAUGAGUCUUUUGCCCCCACUCUGUUUUUGGUUUGGGCCGAAACGUCAUCGUCUUGAUUCUUUACGUGGUUCAUUGGCUCAGACUUGUCCUACAUGGCCGAGCGAGAUCGAGGCUAGCCACCGGUAAUGUUCUUCUCCCGUGCAAGUUCCGCACUGCAUUGAAGCAUCCAACACAUGAUGUAGCUACGUUACAGGUGGGACAUCAGCCAAGUAUGUUUCGAGGUGAGACAUCCAUCAAGUUUGUUUGGAGAAAAUAAGGGCCUUAGAAGAAAAUAAAAAAAAAUUGUGCAGUCCAGCUCCUGCGUGCUGGUCACCGAGCUCCACUGUGUCCAGCUCAUCCGACCAUGUGCUCCACUGCAUCUAGGUCAGCCGAUCUUGUGGCAGAGCUACACUGACGCAAGAGCAAAUAAUUUUACAAUUUCUUUGUUGUUCCUUUGUACUGGAUAACUGUGCAUUUUUAGAGGUGUGAAGAUGUAAUGCAAUAACAGUAACUGGGCGUAGGCACAUCCGUCUCGAUAAGCAUUAUGGGAACGGACAAAGGCAAGGCAUUCCAAUGUAAGAAAUGGAUGAAGGCAAGGUAUGUCAUUCUAAAAAAGGCAAGGCAUACCAGGAUGCUGCAUUUCUUAAUGUCCAGUUCUCUACGCUUUCCCUAUAGCAACCUUUUUUAGAUCUUAUGAGUUGUGUUUUCCUAACAAAAAAAUGUCCAUAUGGAUUCACUGAAACAAGAUUAUAUUAUCAGCAAUUUUGUUUGCAUGUAAUUAAUUAGUGAUAGCCUAUGCCUCACACAACUAUUUUUUCCAGUUCAGUUGUAUCCUUCAAUAUGGGUGCAAUGAAGUGUGGAUAGACAAACACAUUUCUUUUACUGUGAUAUCAUUGACCUUGUUGAUUUAUAUUUUCAAAACUGAUAGGAAUGAAAUCCAUAUGAAUCUUGUGAUGCCAAAGCUCUAAGUGCUGAUGAUUUAAAUUCCUAUUAAAAAAUCCUUAAAUAGAAAGUGGACCUUAUAGCGGAGAAUAAUGUGUAAGCUAUAGGUGGAGUCCAUCUCAAGGGAAGUGAAACCGAAAACAUAGACCACAUUAGAGUCGAAGAUAAGGUGAAUGCAAUCACAGAUCCACAUGAGAGUCAGAUAAGAUUGGUGAAUGCAAUCAGAACUGUCAAAUGUGUGUUUUCCAAUUUUUCAUGCCGCAUGAUCUCUGCUCACUUUACUAGAAGAAGAGCCUUCCUACAUGGUGAAGGUGGAUAAGGAGCCAUUCAACUUAGAGGAAGUGUCUCAAUAAAUGUGUGUGUUACCAAGGUUGAAUUGUCUACUCGCUCUCUUGGAGGUUAUGUUCCUUCCCGUCUAUUAAGCUGUUAGUAUCCUUAUCACCGUGUCUGGCUCCACUGAAAAGCUCACACUGCCAUGCUUGAAGAACAUAAAUGGUGGUACAUUAUUCUGAUAUAUUUUAUGUGCCGCCAUUGUGGUAGAGCCCGACAUGAAGGGUGGGUCCAGUAUAUAAGCAGGUGGUACUAGCACUAAGAUAGGAAGGUCAUUUCCGCCCUUGUCCUUUGUUGAUGGCCUGCCAAGGCGGCGUCGAUUACUGGUUCAAUUUGAACACGAGUUAGUGGAUUUUAUUAUAAAAGUGAGGUUUAAGAGUGGGUGAUGGUUAUUUGGGUUGAUAUGUUCAGUUAUGGCUGUCUGAGCGGAAUAAUUUCCAUACCUUAGAAAAUAUGGCAAAGUGCAUUUAAUUAGAGAUGGCAUUGCAGCAAAUUGCAUGAGUGAGCGGUUCAUAUUUUUUCAUUAAGUCAUACAUUUUUUUGGUUAGGAUGAAAGGGUAUAUGCAUUGGGGGGUUGUUUCAAGAGUUAAUAAUGGACACGGUGGUGUAUCAGUUGCAUGCCAACAGCUAUAUCAUAUUUUUGUUUCAUUGUAAUACACGACAUUCAUUUCUGUGUUACAACAUGGCAAUGGAUCAGGAGACGUCGGAUCCUCCUUCCUGGCUCGGGGGUGUCAUGGGCGGCGCAUGCCUCGCCCCCCUUGCUGGCGGUGGGAUCGGCGUGAGCACGGGAAGGGAGGAUUAGGGUAGAGAGUAGGGCGGUUGGUGGUGGACUCUUUAUUAGCGGUCCGUGGGGAAGUACGGUGCGAAGGAGAGAUGUGUCAUUGCGAUGGUGAUGCGGGCGUCAUCUGCCUUUAAAGGAGAGUGCUCCAGUGAGAAAUGUCCUGCUACAACAAGAAAUCAAGCAGGAAGGGAGGGUCCUGCAGGAAAAGGGAAGGGUGCGUCAUGGGGUGGAAUUUUUUGUUGGGACUUUGGAUCGCCUGUUUAAGAUAACAUGACAGAUAGUACGGACAACCAUAUGUCUCCCCCAUGGGCUGGAUUUGGGGGUGGAUGGACUGUCCAGAUGGUUGGAUUUUGGAUAGCCCGUUAGGGGCUUGUUUGAUGCUCAAACACGCCCGGAUGUAAGAGAAAUGAAUUUCAACCUUGGAAUCGGCCUUAAUCGUUUAUUUGAUUUAUUUAUAUGCACUAUAGCUCGUAUCAUACAUAAAGAAGCACUCGAAAUAAAGCAAACACGGCUGAACUUAAUCAUUUGUUUGAUUCACUUAUACAUAUUGUAGCCCGUACCAUAUGUACAGAAGCACUCGAAAUAAAGCAAGCCGAUUGGGAUUCCGAUAUAUCUGAACAACAACGUUUAUAUCUGUAUGGUAUUCCAAUGAGCAUAGGCGGGUAACAAAUUCGGAAUACAAACAUUUAUUUUUGUCAUCACUAUAUAAUAUAAUAUUAAUUUUGGAAAUUGCGGGGAUGUGCCUCGCUAUUUUGGUUUUCAUUUUAUGCUCUGGUGGAACAGUAAAGAACCGGUUAAGCCGCUUUGCGCGAUGCGUAUUGUCUGUUAAAUGUUUGAAGACCUUGGAUGUGAAGUACUCGUGCUAACUACAUUUUUUUGCUUGUGUGGGAUGAGUAUGAAUUGAGGAGCAGUUUUUAUUAUAUUUUCUAAAACAUGGUGCGAAUGAAGCUAAAGAAUCUUUUCCAUUGGGCGAGAAUUUCUUAAGCGCAUCAAGUAGUAGAUCUUAAUAAUUUGUAAUGGAUUUUUAAUUGGAUCAUUGCUCUAUAUGUAUACAACAUCAAUUUGCAUUUUUGUUAUCAAUUAUUGUAAGUGAAGUGGACUUCAAUUA